rnacentral:lncRNA from 1 species
AAGGAAGCCAUGGUGGGGGGGGGGGGAAUCACCUCAUGGAUUCUUUAAAGGAGGGAACUAAGACAUAAAUGCAUAUCGCUGCUCUCACUUCCUUUCCCACACCACACAAAUGGCGAAUGGGUCCUUGGUUGCUCCCAUCAGGGCACAGAUGGCUCGUCAGGGUGUCGGGCGUCUCCAGACGCCUCUCCUCUCUGCCUUGCUUUUGUUUCUUGCUUGCAGGUAGUGGGCAGCAGUCAGUGACAGGUGUGACCUCUGUGGAUGACAGCAACAGUUACUGGAGGAUACGGGGGAAGACAGCUACAGUGUGUGAAAGGGGAACACCCAUCAAAUGCGGGCAGCCCAUCCGGCU